GCCUGGGUGGCUCAGUCGGUUAAGCGUCUGACUCCGGCUCAGGUCGUGAUCUCGUGGUCUGUGAGUUCGAGCCCCGCAUCGGGCU
rfam:Felis catus isolate Cinnamon breed Abyssinian chromosome A3, whole genome shotgun sequence.